rnacentral:pre_miRNA from 1 species
UUUAUACUCCCUCCGUCCGAAAAUACUUGUCAUCAAAAUGAAUAAAAGGGGAUGUAUCUAGAUGUAUUUUAGUUCUAGAUACAUCCUUUUUUGUCCAUUUUGAUGACAAGUAUUUCCGGACGGAGGGAGUACUAA